AGAUAGCCACGAUCGAAUUCAGGGAAUUAACAAUGGAAUUGCACAAUUUUCGUUGCUGCGAGCCAUCUUUUGAAGAAAGAAACAGUUUUAAAGAGAAAGAGACAACAACUGAUACAUCUAUUGAACAGGUUCAAGUGGAAGAGUCAGUCAGAACAUGUUUCAGCAGUUUUAAACACCGAUUAGAAGUGGACCAAGAAUGCAUUUUGCCAAGACUGGAGAGAGACAUGCAUGUUGGUUUCCUUCUAAAAGGCCUGACUCACCUUUCUGAAUCAUACGAG